rnacentral:rRNA from 1 species
UGCAGUCGAGCGGCAGCGCGGGGGCAACCCUGGCGGCGAGCGGCGAACGGGUGAGUAAUGUAUCGGAACGUACCCAGUCGUGGGGGAUAACUAUCCGAAAGGAUAGCUAAUACCGCAUACGUCCUGAGGGAGAAAGCGGGGGAUCGCAAGACCUCGCGCGAUUGGAGCGGCCGAUAUCGGAUUAGCUAGUUGGUGAGGUAAAGGCUCACCAAGGCGACGAUCCGUAGCUGGUCUGAGAGGACGACCAGCCACACUGGAACUGAGACACGGUCCAGACUCCUACGGGAGGCAGCAGUGGGGAAUUUUGGACAAUGGGGGCAACCCUGAUCCAGCCAUUCCGCGUGAGUGAAGAAGGCCUUCGGGUUGUAAAGCUCUUUCAGCAGGAACGAAACGGUGGCCCCUAAUACGGGCUACUAAUGACGGUACCUGAAGAAGAAGCACCGGCUAACUACGUGCCAGCAGCCGCGGUAAUACGUAGGGUGCGAGCGUUAAUCGGAAUUACUGGGCGUAAAGCGUGCGCAGGCGGUUCUAUAAGACAGAUGUGAAAUCCCCGGGCUUAACCUGGGAACUGCGUUUGUGACUGUAGGACUUGAGUGUGGCAGAGGGGGGUGGAAUUCCACGUGUAGCAGUGAAAUGCGUAGAGAUGUGGAGGAACACCGAUGGC